rnacentral:rRNA from 1 species
GACGAACGCUGGCGGCGUGCUUAACACAUGCAAGUCGAACGGAAAGGCCCUGCUUUUGUGGGGUGCUCGAGUGGCGAACGGGUGAGUAACACGUGAGUAACCUGCCCUUGACUUUGGGAUAACUUCAGGAAACUGGGGCUAAUACCGGAUAGGAGCUCCUGCUGCAUGGUGGGGGUUGGAAAGUUUCGGCGGUUGGGGAUGGACUCGCGGCUUAUCAGCUUGUUGGUGGGGUAGUGGCUUACCAAGGCUUUGACGGGUAGCCGGCCUGAGAGGGUGACCGGCCACAUGGGGACUGAGAUACGGCCCCGACUCCUACGGGAGGCAGCAGUGGGGAAUAUUGCACAAUGGGCGGAAGCCUGAUGCAGCAACGCCGCGUGCGGGAUGACGGCCUUCGGGUUGUAAACCGCUUUCGCCUGUGACGAAGCGUGAGUGACGGUAAUGGGUAAAGAAGCACCGGCUAACUACGUG